CCCUUCUCUUCUCUUGAACUCUAAAUAAAAUACUGAUGUUCUAGUAGUUUGCGCUCCCAUUCUCCCUCAGGCUUUUUUAAAAAAAUUGACAUAUAACUUACAUACCAUAAAAUCUACCCAUUUUAAGUGUACACUUGAAUGAUUUUAGUAAGCAUAUAGUUGUGUAACCAUCAUCACUGAGAAAGUUCCUUCCUGCUCAUUUGCAGUCAAUCCCACUUCUACCUCUGAGCAAGCAAUCUGUUGUCUCUAUAGAUUUGUCUUUUCUAGAAAUUCAUACGAAAGGAAUCAUAUAUGUGGUUUUCUGUAUCUGUUUUUCUUUUUUAUUUAGCAUAAUGUUUUACAAGGGUCAUCCACCUUGACACCUCUUAUCAAUAAUUCAUUCCUUUUUAUUGCUGUAGAGAUAUUACUUUUACCACAACGAUGGUGUGUAAUUGGAAAAGGAAGUAAAGACAUUCCCAUUUUGAAAAUGAAAACAUAAAACAACAGGGCUUUUAGGACCACUGAUUGCCUCAAGAUUCUACCAAGUUCUACAAUAUAAUCAAAGAUCACAAAGCUGAAAAUUAAGCAAUUGUGUCAUUAAAUUUUACAAAGACAUUUGUUUGAACUACAUUUACCUGGGAGAAAAUGAAAUAACCAUAUGCUUUCUCUACUUUUAGGAGAAUCAGAGUAAGCCAAGUAGGUAUAAAUUUACAAGCAUCUUAAAUGUUUCUACUGAGUACUUCAUUUGUUUUCUCAUUUUUCAAAAUUCCUUUUGUGCCGCAAGUGUUUAAAAGCUAUUUAAAACACCUUAAUGCAUAAUUAAUCACCCUGCAAGCUAUCAGCAGAUUUAGUGGUAGUUUCAGAAGUAAACCAGAUUUACACAUGCAAGGUAAGCCUAAUUGGCUAAGCUCACAAAAAACACAAUAUCCGAUUUUUAGAACCUAAUGUGCUCAAGAAAGUAUUUGUGCUUUUAAAUUAGGAGAACAGCUCUGUAUUUAAUUAGUCCUUAUUUGAGUAUGUAAUCAUUUUAAUUUAUUUGCAAACACAGGACAUUGUGCUCCAUAGCAGAUAAUGUUCUUCAUUAACUAGAGUAGGAACUUUGUGCACAGUGGUAGAAGAAAUAUUUCUACCUGUGAUGAAAAAAUCAGAACUGCACACUAUCAGACUUCGUUCUUCAGGUUUUAUGGUCACCAUUCUGCAGGCUUUCUUUAGGCUGUUUGAAAGCGAACACUCUAUGCUUGACAGAUCAUUCUUAUCUAUUCAUUAAAGCACAUGAACCAAUUCUUCCCUAGGGCAUUUCCAAUAAACCUUGAAAUCUUGUUAUUGCCACUCCUUCCCCCAAAUCCUAACUAUAUCCUAAAAAGAAAAAAGCAGCUCUCAUUAACUACUAUAACUAUCUUUGAAAAGGUAAUUAUGUUUUUGCUUGAUUCUAAAUGUUUCAUUCUUAAUGUUCUUAUUUUGAAAUAAGCAUAUCAUUAGAUACAAGUAAAUUGCUUGAGAAAUAAUUUAAGCUUUCAUUUCCAAGUAAAUGGAAUUUAUGAAAAUUGACAUCAUUUGGUAACCAGUAGUUGGAAUGUGACAUGACAUCCCAAAAUGAAUCAGUGGAUAGUUAGUGAGGAUAGCUUUAAGUUGGGCAUUAUUUGGGUAGGAAGCUUGCUCUAGCUAGUGUUUUAAAGUAAGGCCAGUGCUAUUCUGGGUGAAGUAUUCUUCAUGCUAUAAUCUGUACCAUGCUAUAUUUUUUGGAAAAAUUUGGCACUACUUGAUGAAAGACUAAACACUUUGUCAUACAUUUUUCUUCUUCAACAGGACAAGUUAAGCAAAUUGUCUGAGUCAUUACAUUAGAUCUGCUCUAUAUGACAACAGGCAGGUCUCCAAAUGUGGUCGUGAUUUCCCACAAUUCUCCAAGAUUGGGUGAGAGUAUCCUAUAGGAUAAGAUUCUAAUUUAUGCAGUUCUUUUUGCCCAGAGUUCUAAAUUCUUCCAUUUCUAUGGGGGAAAAAAGUGUAUAAUUUCAGAAAGGGAAGACUCCUUUUUUGUAGGUAAUGAGUAUUACAAACAUAAUUGCAUAAUUUAACCUUAGAGACAAU
ensembl:lncRNA